rnacentral:rRNA from 1 species
AUGAUGCGUAAGAAACUUUCGGGCGGCGGAAUGGACGCGACGGUGGACGAGCUGAGCGCGGCGUAUAAGGAGUUCGUGGCGGCUGCGGUGGCCGUGAUGGAAGCUCGCGAGCAGUCGGGCGGCCAGAAGAUGGCAGCCACGGACGCGGCGCUUGAAGCCUUCAAGCAGCGAUGGGAGCUCUUCCGCGUCUCCUGCGACCACGCCGAGGAGCUCGUUGAGUCCAUCCGCCAGCGCAUCGGCUCCGAGUGUCUCGUCGACGAGGCCACGGGAUCUUCCUCUUCCGCCUCCACGCCCGCAAGCGUCGCGCUGGCUGCCCCCGGCAUCAAGCCAAUCAGCGCCGUCCGCCUCGAGCAGAUGAGCAAGGCCGUCCGCUGGCUCGUUAUCGAGCUUCAGCACGGCGUCGGAGGGCCCUCAGCUGCCGGACCUGGCGGUGGCGUCUCAACCCCGGCUGCCGGCGCCGGAGGGCAGCAUGUGCACGGCGGGGUCGAAUCGCGCUUCCCCGAGGAUGGCACCCAGUAG